GGGCGUAUAGCUCAGGGGUAGAGCACUAUGUUGACAUCGUAGGGGUCGGAGGUUCAAAUCCUCCUACGCCCACCA
rnacentral:tRNA from 11 species